GGCCAAGUUGGUACAUAAAAUUAACUGCUCUGGUACGCCACUUUGGCUUGCAAAUGAUCACUUUUGCUAUUUUCGAGGCCAAACUGGAAUGCUGGAGUUCUAAAUUCUGCGUAUCCCUUCUUGCAUGUGUCUUGUUGUCGACUUGCGCCAUCUUUCCCUGUGUUUCAGGCCUCACAAGAUUAAAACUUGGACGCACACAGGAGAGGUCGAGGAAUCUGAAUGUCAUUUUUCAAAUCGAGCAUCAGACUUUUUAUGCAGAAGACAAUAAGGAAGUUGGAUGACAUACCUGCAAGGG
rnacentral:lncRNA from 1 species